CCCUUAGAUGUUCUGGGCUGCACGCGCGCUACACUGACGCACGCAACAGGUGCCUGCUCCGAGAGGACUGGGUAAUCAUUUGAGUGUGCGUCGUGAUGGGGAUAGAAUAUUGUAAUUAUUACUCUUCAACGAGGAAUUCCUAGUAAGCGCCAGUCAGCAGCUUGCGCUGAUUACGUCCCUGCCCUUUGUACACACCGCCCGUCGCUCCUACCGAUGGGUGAUCCGGUGAAUGAUUUGGACUUCAGCGGCUCCCCUGGGGUGCGCCGGAGAAAGUUUUGUGAACCUUAUCACUUGGAGGAAGGAGAAGUCGUAACA
rnacentral:rRNA from 1 species